AAAAAUAUUUUACAUAUAAUGAACGACUUGGAUGAUUUGUAUGGGACCCAUGGUAGGCCCCACAACGAAAUCUAUGCACAAUCUGUGCACAGAUUGCUGUGUGUAGCACAGUACGUUCCAAUUAGCCCGGGUCAAAACUACAGUACGUAGAAAGGACGGCCCGCUAGAAACUGACCGUCGGUGAACUUGCAAACAGCAGGCAAACCCAAAAACCCUUACCAAACUUAAACCCAAAACAGACCCAAAUUCGCCAACAACCACCACGCCGCCGGUCACCAUCCCUGUCACCACAACACCAUAGGGAACCCACAAAGCCGCACAAUUAGAACCGCUGGACACUGAACACAACGGACAACACUGCCGCGAGACUCCCACUGAGCACCGCAACCCGGCUUGCCGUGUUAAUGUGACCCAUGGAAAGCUCCGAUAGCCACCAGAUCUGUAGCACCAUGAUCCACGGCCGCUCCAAACGAAAGCCUGAAGAUCCCCCCUUGCCGUUAAGCCACUUCGGCAUCACUCACGAAUGAUAAGCCGUUGGGAGACCAAGGCCAAGAGAGCAAGAGCCAUGCCGCGAUCCCAACUCGCUGUUAAAGCCAACCGGUCUCUUCCAAGCAAAAGAAACCGGCGAGGAAAAGACGGCCGCCCACACAGUGAAGCUAGAAGGAGAGAAACGGCGGUAGAGUGGGCGGCGAGCUUAGAUCUAAAAAAAUGGAAGAAAGAUGGGGAUAUAUAAGGCCCAAGGGAGGAGGAAGAGGGCAACCCCCCCACAAUCAGAGAGGCCACCAGAAAUCACCCAACCUUUUCAGAUUCUAGAGAGAGACAGAGAGAGAGAGAGAGCUAUUGUUUUCGAGUGGCUUGAUUUGGAUUGUCAGGUGGAGCCAUAGCUGUAAUAUCUAUAGGAGUAGCGAUGGGAGCACUUCUAGUGGCUGUUUGCAUAAAAUGGGGGUUCUAUAGAAAGAACAAGGUGCCGGGGGAAUCGAGUUCACAAAGAGACAUAGAACUACCUCGUCAAACUGGAAGGGCUCGGCAAAGUACUUUAGAGAAAUCAGACUCCCUUGGUGCUCCUGAUACUACUUCACGUCUCUAUGAAAAGCUUGCAAAGGCAACUGAUUGCCAAGCUAAGUUGCGAGGCAAGGUUUGUUGCUAUUAAUCUAGUCAUGGUGAUAAACAGAGAAGAGAGGGAAAAUAAACUGAUAUCACAUUAAAAGCUGUCUUCUAUUCCCGCGUGUCCAGAUGGGGAAUCACAGCUACCCAAUCAGCCGCAAGGAGCAUCCGAUGGUGACAAGAACGCAAAUACCAGAGGUGGUGUAUCAACUGGGGACAUGACUAUGGAAGGCGGUAUAUGCCUUGGGAGCUCGAAAAUUGGUGCUCCUGUAUCGAUUGGCACCAUGACUAUAAAUUUAGUGUACCAGAUGUUGCCAAAAACCCGAGGUGGUGCAUCAAUCGGGAACACAGCUGUCGAGGUGGUAGAUCAAUUGUGAACAUGAAUACUGGAGGUGGUUGAUCGAUUGGGAACAUAAAUAUCGAAGGUGGUUGAUCAGUUGGCAACACGGAUCAAAACUCGACGUGGUGCAUCGAUUGGGAUCAGUAUAUCAGACUCAAGAGACAAGAGGAGGAAACUGAGAAGCAGCCGAGGAAAAGCUAGGGGAAAUGGACAGAUUGAGGAGAAACUGCAUUAAUAAUACAUGAUGUAUGAAGACGAUGGCGUUGCAGUACACAAUUGAUAUAGAAGUGAACAGAAGAUGGAAAAGGAAGCAGAAAGCCAAUUCGAGAUUCUUUGAAAGCAGCUCACUGCUGAAAGGGCCACAGAUUAAAGAGUGAAUUGAGUUGGUUCACACAUUGCAAGGAGAGCCAGCAAAAGUGAACAGCCACUGGAAACACAGCAUCUGAAUAUUGUGAGUAUUGCAUACAAACUCCACUGUGUUUUCUAGACAUUGUCGAUAUUUGAUUCGCCUAAGGUGCAAAUAGAGUUACUUGCGUUGUGUGUGAUGUAUUGAUGAUUCUUAAUCCAGUGAUUGGCUAAAUAAAAACCACUGUAGUAUACAUUUAGCUUAGAGAUCUAGUGUGCGAAAUUGCAAAUAAACAAGGGCGAUGGAACAUCAUUUGCUGCUACUCUAGCUGCAUUUUAGAUCAUUUCUUCCCAUUGAGAUGUACUGUGACUUUUCUGUAUCAAUCUUGUCAUAUAAUGUUUCCGCUGGGUCGAAUGUGAACUUGGGAAAAUGACGUAGAAUUGGGAAUGGUAAGUCGUCCAAAAUGUAGGGCACGUUAAGCACU